UCAUAUAAACUUUGUCCCUGGAGAAUAUUUUAAUGGCCUCCUCGAUUUCAGAAAGCCUACAAUCAAGAUGAGCCCGACGUGAGCGAACACUCAGACUGUCAGCUUUGAGAGGCAGCAACAGCAGCUCACUCACCAGGGAGCGAUGAGCUGAGGGGGAAAAGAAAAUCAGCAACACCACAAUGAGAGAAGCAAAUAUUCAGUAUACAUGUCGCACUUUAAAAGGCAUCAAGGUGUGACCAGCUGGGGCUGCUGGAUCAGGGGCGUUCCUCCUCCUCUCCUCCUCCUCUUUAUGCCACUGCUUCUUCCUUUCCUCAAGACUGAGUGUUUUUAAGUGUCAGUGGAAAGGAGAACAGAAAUGAGCGACAGCAGUAAAAUGGUAUAAAAGAAGGUUAAAUCCACCUGUGGUGAAUUGCAUGUCUAUAUCCAAAUGGCUUUGAGUUUGUUAGGAUUGGAUAAUUGUAGCGUAAGAAGGUAAGAUAGGCAUAAGAAUACUCACUACUGGGGCACCUUUCCCUUGACUGCACUGGGGACAGGCUUAUCUCUGAGGUUUGUCAGUGACCGGGACCGACGCAGUACAGUUUUUCUUGCAGCCUGGGCAUUAUGUUUUAUGAAGUCUAUGGACUGGCCUUUCACCUGUAACUGUAUCCACAUAUAACAAUGUAUGCAAUUAAAACAAAAAGGAAAGUGAGCAGAAUGCAUAUUCGCAUUAUUUAUUUAAUAAAUACACCAGAAGUGCAAUA